GCUUUUUGAAAUAAUUUAAAGUCUGACCUGCCCAAUGAUUAUUUGAAUGGCUGCGGUAUUUUGACCGUACUAAGGUAGCAUAAUAAUUAGUUUUUUAAUUGAAAGCUGGUAUGAAUGGUUGGACGAGAAAAUAGCUGUCUCAAUUUAAUUUUAAUUAGAAUUUUAUCUUUAAGUUAAAAAGCUUAAAUAAGUUUAAAAGACGAGAAGACCCUAUAGAGUUUUAUAUUUAUUUAUUAUUGUAAAUUUAAAGAAUUUUUUUUUUUAUUAAUAAAUAAAUAUUUUGUUGGGGUGACAAAAAAAUUAAAAAAACUUUUUUUAUUUUAAAAUCAUUGAUUUAUGAAUAAGUGAUCCAUUUAUUAUGAUUAAAAGAUUAAAUUACCUUAGGGAUAACAGCGUAAUUUUUUUUAAGAGUUCAUAUCGAAAAAAAAGAUUGCGACCUCA
rnacentral:rRNA from 1 species